rnacentral:lncRNA from 1 species
UACGAAUCUCGCGAGAAGUCAAGUUCUCAUGAGUUCUCCCAAAAUCCACCGCUCUUCCUCUUUCCCUAAGCAGCCUGAGGGUUGACUGGAUUGGUGAGGCCCGUGUGGCUACUUCUGUGGAAGCAGUGCUGUAGUUACUGGAAGAUAAAAGGGAAAGCAAGCCCUUGGUGGGGGAAAGUAUGGCUGCGAUGAUGGCAUUUCUUAGGACACCUUUGGAUUAAUAAUGAAAACAACUACUCUCUGAGCAGCUGUUCGAAUCAUCUGAUAUUUAUACUGAAUGAGUUACUGUAAGUACGUAUUGACAGAAUUACACUGUACUUUCCUCUAGGUGAUCUGUGAAAAUGGUUCGCUAUUCACUUGACCCGGAGAACCCCACGAAAUCAUGCAAAUCAAGAGGUUCCAAUCUUCGUGUUCACUUUAAGAUAUCCCAGAAGAAACUGAAGAAACAAAAACUUAUGGCACGGGAGUAAAUUCAGCAUUAAAAUAAAUGUAAUUAAAAG